CUGGAAGUGAUGACAUUUCUUGAGUCUUGACCUCACGCUGAUUUCUCUCGUAUUCGUACUGGCUGAUCCGA